AAGGAGUGAGGAACAUGUUACUGAGGAAAGAGGAUCUUUCCUUUGUAGCAGAAGACAGCUAAGUGACACAUCUGCUCUUAUGUGGACAGCAUAGAAUGUGCCUAUGAUAAAUGAACUGGGUGAUCUACUUCAGACUUCCAAGCAGGUGUUAAAGGUGCCUCUUGGUUUCUUCUUGCUGCAAGAGGAGAGAUAUACAUUGAGGAAAGGGCUGUUAAACAGAAGAAACCAGGACUUGAGAGCUGUGAAAUGCACAGGUUCUCCAGAUGGCAGAGGAUGUUAAGAUUAUGAAAUGGCUUCUCAGCAAAGAUCAAGGAGAAGGCAGAGAAGGGCUUAUCUCUAAGAGACCUGUGUGCCUUCAUCUACUGGAGUGAACCCCCCCACAUGAUUCACAGGAGGCUGUGUGGUUUUGUGAGAGGAUGAGAGUAGCAGAAACGCUGCUAGCUUAGACUCGAAGAGAACAGAAUGAAACAAAGCCACCUGGCUCCCCAAAUUGUGCUGACCAGAAGCAUGCUGAGAAAACUACUCAGCUGCAGAGAUGUGUGACCUUUCAUAAAACGGGAGGGUGAUAGAUGGCAGAACCAGGUGCCCAGGAGACAGAGCCAUGGAACAUGGAGAAUUACUCCUGAGGUACAGGUAAUAGAAGGAGUAAGCUUAACGUCAGGGGGCGGGGGAGAGAGGGUCAAAGUGUAGUAUCCUUGAAACUGAGAUUAUAGCAAGAACACACUUAUCAUUAAUGACAACAUCUAGAUAUAUGUCCAUGAGCAUGGGUUAAUUAGGUGGGAUAAAAAAAAAGAAUAGUGAAAGUAAAGCAUUGAAGACAUUGAAGAUCAUCCUUAUAAAUGUUGAAGGCCCUGAGAGAGCUGACGGGAGUAAUAGUGAAGAGACCAAGUAAACUAGGUGUCAGUAGUUACAAAAAUCCAACUUCCCUGGAUAACCCUUGCUGAGUCAUCCACAUUGGUUUGUAAUCAUUGUCCAGCUUCCCAACCCAACUACAUUGAACUUUGCAGGUCUCCAAAUGUCUGUACAUACUUGUAGUAUGUUUCCACAAGUCCCUGUAUUUAUUACAUGACAGUAUUUUCAAACUUUAUUAUGUUCUUUGCCUUUACUAUUAGCUCCAGGAGGGCUGAGGCUGAGUUCAAGUUGUUUAACAUUAUUCCCCACACUCAGCUCAGUGCCUGGUGUGCAUAGUAGGCACCUUGUGAUGGAAGAAGAGGAUUUCCAUCCUAGGCUUAAGAUAAAAGAUCUAAAGCAGUUCCAAAAGAGCACAUUUCUUUGGUAUCUCUCCUUCAGAUUUUCUGACAAACAUUAAUAUCUGAGCUCAAACAAUGCUUUCCCUUAAGGAAGACACUUAUAGAGCUUUAAAUCCCUUAUAAACAUUAGGUGCUAGAUCCUUUUAAAAAAUAUAAUUAUUUAUACAAGGAAGCAUUUGAAAGAUAUCUCUUGUGAAUUCCCUAAUGUCCAGGAAAUGUGAUUUUGAUAAACACUUUUCUACAGUAGUCGCCAUUAUGGAUUUUCUCUUCCAUGGCGGUCUCAUUGGUUAAACCGACCAGCUCUUCCUCCUGACCUGAAGAGUCUUAUUUAAAUUACUUGGAGAUACAUUGCCAAAAGUUAUGUACAAAAAUAGAAUUCAAAGCAGAAAUAGCAUGUGGCAAUUGGUAAAAUAUACGUUAUUACCCACGUUAACCAAAUCAUACAAAAGAUAAAACAAUUAAUGUGGCAAAAAAAAA